UACAGAGGCCCAAAAUUCAUAGAUCCUCACGCCCUCGAAGGUAAAAUUCAUCAGUGCAAUUAUUUGAGCCUGAACUUGCCAGAUCUGUAAAUGUGAUGCUUGUGCAUGCCUAAAAUAUGAAUUAGGUUAUGUCGCAUAAAUCUGUGUAAAGUAGUGCUUUCUGAUUUCAGUGCGUUCAUGCAUCAAUGGUUUUGGUCUACUAUCUACAAGCUCAUGAAUGUGUUCUGUAUACUGCAUGUCUCCAUUGAUGAACGCAUGGGCCCAAAAAUCUGUGCAUGAGGUCAAUCUGCGUAUUGGCUCGAUGAAUAUGCUCCCCUUUGUGUUGCUUGGAUCCCGCCCCCAAACUUCAAUGUAAUUAUAUUUUGAAUGAAGUGUGAGAGAGUGAGAGAGUGAAAGGGAUCCGUUAGCAUAGAGGUCUUCUCAGCAUCCCCACUCCCUGUUGGGAAGGGUUCUGGUGGCACAUAAACUUGGGGAUGAGAAGAUUGUGGGGAAAUUGUUUCAUGAUCAGCAGGUGGUGUUUCCUCCCUUGGGGCAUGACUGGCUGGCAGAUUGCUCUUCCGUUUCUGCACCAAUUUCCUCUUGAUCAUCAUAGCUUUUCCCACAGUUUAUUAAUGGUUGAAUCUGAAAUUCUUGAUUAGUUCUUUCAAUGUACAACUCAAUGGAUUCCAACAAUUUAGAGAGUUUGUCUUCCA